rnacentral:tRNA from 1 species
GGAGAGGUGGCCGAGUGGCUGAAGGCAACGGUUUGCUAAACCGUCAUACGGUGUAAAGCUGUAUCGAGGGUUCGAAUCCCUCUCUCUCCGCCA